rnacentral:lncRNA from 1 species
ACCGAGUGUACUACAGCCAAAGGCCACUAAUCUGAAUGAGGAAAGACUACCUCGGAGUUACACCUCUUCCUUUGACAUCAAGCGGAUUCCCAGAUUAUGGCCGAUGCGCAGCCGGCGCCAUGCGCAGCGUAUGCAGGCUGUGACAGCGGUGACGCUGGAACCUUCCCUCGUCACCUACAGAUGCCGUGCACCAAAGUCGGAGACUCGGACUGCCAGCUGCUACUGUACCUAAGAAGUACGAGGGAACUGUUGCUUGGCGCUUCUUUGGAGCUGGUUGAAGACCAGCGACGACCCGGCGGCCUUCGUCUGG